AUGUGGCCCGAAAUACAAUAUAUAAAUUAAAAACAAGAAAGAGUAAGUUGAGGCGGGCCGCGUAGACCCACCCCAACCAUUCACGCGGGCCGUAUGAGGGUUAUACCGGAUUCCUUUGAUUUCUUAAAGCUCAAGCGGGUCGCGUAAAGAUCUUCGAUUAGUUAACGCGGGCCGCGAGAGGUUGGAAAAGUGGCGCAGCCUUGGGCCGCCACGUGGCAAACACCCGUCAAGCCUACACAUCAACUCAGCAUAGCUAUACGUUGACUUUGGGUCAACGCGGGCCGCGUAAGACUUGUCCCCAUUUGACGCGGGCCGCGAGAGAGUCCAGUAUCAGCCCUAUAAAUUGGAUCGUCGAGCCUUCAGUCUGCUUCGUUCAAAAUCAAUUCUUUCUCUCUCAAAAUUAAAUAGUGGGCAUUAUACACGGGCAUUAUACCCCCCUAAUUAGCGAAGCUCUGCCUCGUUACUAUAACCAAGGAAUCACAAAGGAAAGCCUUAUCAUAGCAAUGUAAUUUAGUGUAAAGCCAAUAGAAGCCAGCUGGAGAGCACUGAAGGCUUGGAAAAGUG
rnacentral:lncRNA from 1 species